rnacentral:miRNA from 1 species
AUCCAUGCAAUCUCCAAACAACC